GGGCUGCUAACAACUUUUAUGUAUGCAAACAAAAGCAUUGUAAAUCAGGUUUUUCUAAGAGAAAGGUCCUCAAAGAUUCAGUGUGCUUGGUUACUGGUAUUCUUAGCAGGAUCUUCUGUUCUUUUAUAUUACACCUUUCAUUCUCAGUCACUUUAUUACAGGCUAGAAAGGUGUCAACUAUGACAAACCGUGAAGACUUUUUCCUUAUUCUAUGAAGGGAAGAUCUAAAAUCCAAACAGCUUAAUUUUUUUAAAUCCUACUUUGGACCAUUUGAGCUUCUGGGAAGUAUUUUGGAUUGUUGGAAUUACAGACUUCAUUCUGAAAUUCUUUUUCAUGGGCUUAAAAUGCCUUAUUUUAUUGGUGCCUUCUUUCAUCAUGCCUUUUAAAUCUAAGGGUUACUGGUAUAUGCUUUUAGAAGAAUUGUGUCAAUACUACCGAACUUUUGUUCCCAUACCAGUUUGGUUUCGCUACCUUAUAAGCUAUGGGGAGUUUGGUAACGUAACUAGAUGGAGUCUUGGGAUACUGCUGGCUUUACUCUACCUCAUAUUAAAACUUUUGGAAUUUUUUGGGCAUCUGAGAACUUUCAGACAGGUUUUACGAAUAUUUUUUACACAACCA
rnacentral:lncRNA from 1 species